rnacentral:rRNA from 1 species
UUGGGUUAAGUCCCGCAACGAGCGCAACCCACGUUUUUAGUUGCCAGCAUUGAGUUGGGCACUCUAGAGAGACUGCCGGUGACAAACCGGAGGAAGGUGUGGAUGACGUCAAGUCAGCAUGCCCCUUACGUUCUGGGCUACACACGUACUACAAUGCUUCGGACAAAGGGCAGCGAGCGCGCGAGUGCAAGCCAAUCCCAUAAACCGAGGCUCAGUUCAGAUUGCAGGCUGCAACUCGCCUGCAUGAAGGCGGAAUCGCUAGUAAUCGCAGGUCAGCAUACUGCGGUGAAUACGUUCCCGGGCCUUGUACACACCGCCCGUCACACCAUGGGAGUUGGCCACGCCCGAAGUCGUUACUCCAACCGUUCGCGGAGGAGGAUGCCGAAGGCAGGGCUGAUGACUGGGGUGAAGUCGUACAAGGUAACCA